GACGAACGCUGGCGGCGUGCUUAACACAUGCAAGUCGAACGGAAAGGCCCUGCUUUUGUGGGGUGCUCGAGUGGCGAACGGGUGAGUAACACGUGAGUAACCUGCCCUUGACUUUGGGAUAACUUCAGGAAACUGGGGCUAAUACCGGAUAGGAGCUCCUGCUGCAUGGUGGGGGUUGGAAAGUUUCGGCGGUUGGGGAUGGACUCGCGGCUUAUCAGCUUGUUGGUGGGGUAGUGGCUUACCAAGGCUUUGACGGGUAGCCGGCCUGAGAGGGUGACCGGCCACAUUGGGACUGAGAUACGGCCCAGACUCCUACGGGAGGCAGCAGUGGGGAAUAUUGCACAAUGGGCGGAAGCUUGAUGCAGCAACGGCGCGUGCGGGAUGACGGCCUUCGGGUUGUAAACCGCUUUCGCCUGUGACGAAGCGUGAGUGACGGUAAUGGGUAAAGAAGCACCGGCUAACUACGUG
rnacentral:rRNA from 1 species